CAGAAACCAAGCCUAAGCAAAAGUACAAGCCAGCUUUGAAUGGAUCUCAAUAGUAUGGAACUUGGCUGAAAUGCCCCAAUAAUUAUGGUUGAAGUUUCUAAAUUUUAAGAUUAAUUAUGAUCUAAACAUGCAUUUGCAUAGAGACUCUGUUGCUGAAACUAAGUUGUUCAUGUAAACAACCAGGGCAAGCAUUGUGUGAGCGGUAAAAGAAGGGGAA
rnacentral:lncRNA from 1 species